GCCGGCCUAGCUCAAUUGGUAGAGCAACUGACUUGUAAUCAGUAGGUUGGGGGUUCAAGUUCUCUGGCCGGCACCA
rnacentral:tRNA from 2 species